rnacentral:rRNA from 1 species
AUUGAACGCUGGCGGCAUGCCUAACACAUGCAAGUCGAGCGAGCGGCGGACGGGUGAGUAAUGUCUGGGAAACUGCCUGAUGGAGGGGGAUAACUACUGGAAACGGUAGCUAAUACCGCAUACCAUCAGAUGUGCCCAGAUGGGAUUAGCUGGUAGGUGGGGUAACGGCUAACCUAGGCACCGAGCCCUAGCUGGUCUGCGAGGAUGACCAGCCAAACUGGAACGGAGACACGGUCCAGACUCCUACGGGAGGCAGCAGUGGGGAAUAUUGGACAAUGGGGGCAGGCCGGAUGCAGCCAGGCCGCGGGUGUGAAGAGGGCCUUCGGGUGGUAAAGCACUUUCAGCGGGGAGGCGUUACCCGCAGAAGAAGCACCGGCUAACUCCGUGCCAGCAGCCGCGGUAAUUC